rnacentral:rRNA from 1 species
AUUGAACGCUGGCGGCAUGCCUUACACAUGCAAGUCGAACGGCAGCACGGGUGCUUGCACCUGGUGGCGAGUGGCGAACGGGUGAGUAAUACAUCGGAACAUGUCCUGUAGUGGGGGAUAGCCCGGCGAAAGCCGGAUUAAUACCGCAUACGAUCUACGGAUGAAAGCGGGGGACCUUCGGGCCUCGCGCUAUAGGGUUGGCCGAUGGCUGAUUAGCUAGUUGGUGGGGUAAAGGCCUACCAAGGCGACGAUCAGUAGCUGGUCCGAGAGGACGACCAGCCACCCCUGGACUGGGACACCGGCCAGACCCCUUCGGGAGGCCGCAGUGGGGAAUUUUUGGCAAUUGGGGGAAACCUUGUCCAGCAAUUGCGGGGUGUUUGAAAAAGCCCUCGGGUUUGAAAGCCCUUUUUUCCGGAAAAAAAACCUUGGCCCUUAAACCGUCCGGGGAUGACGGUACCGGAAGAAUAAGCACCGGCUAACUACGUG